CUCUGCUCGAACCCCACCAUAUCGGAGAUCGGAGACACGUCGCCGGCCGGCUGGGAUCCUCCGUCGCUAGUUGUCGCCGUUCUAGUUCCUCCCUAGAAGCCACCUAUCCAUCCCCGAUCGGCCGCCGUCGGGCUACCGCGGUCGACGCUCGACGGAUUAGUCUGAUGGCGCCGGAGACGAGAGCCGGCGACCAGAUAGCAGGAGGAAGGGGAGGGAGGUCCGCGCUUUGGGGACGGCGCUCUUCGGCGUUCUGGAGCCGAAGAGAGGAAGUGGGGGGAGGCGCCGGCCGGUGGCCACAAACUGACCCCAAGGCAAACUGGCAAAUACGUAUAUGCCACUUAUGGCUGCUUUUUUUGGUCAGAUGGUGUAUUUGAAAUGUCAGAAUUUGGUGUGCAAAUUGUUCUGAAUCUUACUGAGAUGUUCUUAACUGAGCAUGCCUCUGAUUUCGAAAUACUGGCUGGGCUUGCUGUAGCUGUUGUUACUUAUGAAUCCAAGACCUUUGCUAUUGAAGUUCAGAUGAAGGUGGCGCACAACCUCGGACUCUGUGUAGGGCAAGGUAUCUAGUACUGUGGCAUCUCAGCAGGGACAGUUGGGCUAAGAAAGGAUUCCCAAGGCAUGUUGCACUUCCAGUCAUCUGAAGAGUCUGCUCCUAAAUCGAAUGGGAAACUCAUGCCGGCAUUUACAUCUGCAGAAGAAUCAGCCAGAAAUCCAGUGAUCUGCUGCUCAGGCUGCCCAAACUGCAUGUUGAAGAGCGGCGGUGCAGUGUGCACGGGCUUCUGUGAUGGCUGUGUUUGGAAUGGCAAGAUGGUGGGACCUUCCAGUUCCAGAGAUGGAUUGCAGUUAAAGCUUAUGACCUUGCAUGAAGAGCCAUCCUGUGUGUUGCUGGGUUUCUGAAGCUGCUGCUGUCCCUGGAACCCAUGUUUGCUGUUGAACUGACUUGCUGGUGCCUCUGCAACUUGCAAUGAGCAGGAGGAGCUCUCCGAAGCAAAAUGUGAAGCUUGCACCGGUUGCAUUGCGGAGAAGAGAUCUUGCUCAGUUGUCCCAGGCAAUGGAGGCCCCCAAGUGUGAGAAAGCGCCAUUUGCUGUGCCAUCGAACUGGUCUUCUUGAAGAUCUUACAUAUGGUCCAAGAGUCCUGUUUUGGGCAACAGAAAAGUGACCUUAAGAAUUCGACAUAACAUUUGAAUUUAGCUCUGUAACUACAUAAUAUGAUUGAAAUGCUUACGUUGAGCGGGAUGUUCUUGUCGAUUGGUCUCUUGGGAAGUGAUGGGUCGGUGAGCGAAGGAAGCCUGAACUCAUGCAUCAUCCAGUCAGUUUUGAUCCCUCUUGCUGCCCUGCCUCUGUAGAAGACAAGGGACUUCUUCAGGCCUAUGCACCUGGUGCCUUCGGAGGAGUAGAUCGGCCUGUCUGUUCCUGUGGCUUUCCAGAACCCAGCUGCUGUGACUCGGUUUGGCCUCGCGCUGUUGCGAUAUUUCCGGUCCCUCGGGCAGUAGAAGUACCAGUCCGUCUCACCGGUGCUGGCAAGCUCUGUCGUUGAGAAGGGAUAUGGAAGUUAGACUUUGCAGCAGUAAGGUGAGUAACCCAUCUAUGUACUGUAGGUUAGCUUGUGAUGAGACGAUGGUCAAUACUACUACUGAUUUCGUUCAACUGAACCUCCAGUG